AGCAACCCACAGUUUCAAUUCAAACAGAAUCCUAGCUGUACUUUGUCUUUCACUACCUCCAAAAGAGGCCACAGAAAUGGGGAGAGAGCUAGCAAUCAUUCCUCUCUCUAUGAACCGCCAUCUCCAGAAAUUUCCCUAAAGGGCCAGUCUACACUUUUGGAAACCAAGAUAAGCUUAUCUACAAAGGUCUGUGGGUUCAACGGAGUUUGGCUGCUUCAGCUGGGCGAGUCCCAGACUGCUUGUCAGGCUCAGGUCUGUUUUCCUGAAACAUCUUCUCACAGCCGUUGGCAGAAGUACACGAGAGAAAGCAGAAAAAUGCAUUAUCUGGAAGGCCUCAGUUUGGAACAGUGCCCUGUUCCUAUCCCCACCUUCCACUGAUCACUGCCAAGCUCAUAGUGUUUGUCAUUAAAUUACCGAUUCUGCGCUCCAAACCUACCUUUCUAUACUCUGAUUUAUGUUGCUGGAUCUGGGGCCAUUUUUCUACUUUGUCAGAUGGCUCCCAGCCUGGGCUCAUUAACUGGAAUUACCAGAGGGGAUUUGAAGACUGGAGAAGAGAUAGUAAUUCCCCUGUUUUCUUGUUCCUGACACUCCUCCCCAGGAAAGUUUCUUCACCCUGACAACGGCAGUUGGCUCCAGUGUUUAGUUUAAAAAAUUUUUGCCACAUAU
rnacentral:lncRNA from 1 species